rnacentral:tRNA from 1 species
GGCGGGGUCGCCCAGUGGUAAGGCAGAGCUCUGCAAAAGCUCCAUCCGUCGGUUCGAUUCCGACCCUCGCCUCCA